CUGUGCUCCACAACCUCCCUGGAGGUGUUCAAGACCAAGCUGGAUGAGGCCUUAAGUAUCCUGUGCUGGUCAGAGGUUGUAGGUCCUUUCCACUGCUUGUUGGCAGUGUUGGUUCCAGCAGAUAAAUUUGGGUCCUGUGAGGAAGAGGGAGGGGAGGGAGUUACUAAAACCUUACUUCUAGUCAGGUCAGAUCCCAGCUACUUUGUUUUCUAGCCACUGAUUUGCACAUCAGCCCCCUAGAAAGCAGGCUGAGCUGAUCUGGGGUGUGAUUGAGGCCCCCAUCCCUGGAGAUCAGACUCCUUGGGCAGCCUGCUGGAGCUGGAGGUGUCCCUGUGAAUGCAGUGAGGGUUGGACAGGAUAAGCUCAGAGGGUCCCUUCCAACCCAGUGCCACCUGUGAAGCUGUGACACUGCAGAUCAAGGUUUAUUGACUGAGACAGAAAGUUUCUCUGAGGACUUUGCCCCUGAAAAUUGUGACUUCUGCCAGCUGAGUGCUGUAGAAGGAGCUACUGCCUUCUGCUCAGGUCACAGCUUGAAACUGUUUGCUUUUCCUGCCUGCUCUUCACCUAAUUCCAGGGCCAGGUUUGCUUUAAAGGGACACAGGUAGCUCCAGUUUGACAGGGAGGGGAAACUUCUAACUUCCAGGUGAGACCCAGCAGCAGCUUUUCCAGCUCAGUGCCAGUGUCCUGCAAGACAUUUCCUGCACAGUUGAGCAGUUCUGAACAGUUAAUGACUGCACACAGGCAGGGAAAGGCCUGGGGGCAUUGGGUAGAUCUGCAGAAUUGCUGUGUUGGAGUUGCAAGAUGUUGCCUAUAAAGAGCUUUAUGUUGUGUUGCCUCUUCUUUCUUGGUGGGACUUCUGCAGAACCUCAUUACAGCUGCAGAGGUGACCUUGCCCAGCAGAGACAGCCAGGGCCAGCCCCCAGGGUGAGGUUGCCCAGCAGAGACAGGCAGGGCCAGCCCAGGGUGAGGUUGCCCAGCAGAGACAGGCAGGGCCAGCCCAGGGUGAGGUUGCCCAGCAGAGACAGGCAGGACCAGCCCAGGGUGAGGUUGCCCAGCAGAGACAGGCAGGACCAGCCCUGGGGUGAGGUUGCCCAGCAGAGGCAGGCAGGACCAGCCCAGGGUGAGGUUGCCCAGCAGAGACAGGCAGGGCCAGCCCCAGGGUGAGGUUGCCCAGCACAGACAGGCAGGGCCAGCCCUAGGGUGAGGUUGCCCAGCAGAGACAGGCAGGACCAGCCCUAGGGUGAGGUUGCCCAGCACAGACAGGCAGGACCAGCCCAGGGUGAGGUUGCCCAGCACAGACAGGCAGGGCCAGCCCCAGGGUGAGGUUGCCCAGCACAGACAGGCAGGACCAGCCCAGGGUGAGGUUGCCCAGCACAGACAGGCAGGGCCAGCCCCAGGGUGAGGAGCUGCUGGCAGUUCUGUGCAGAAUUGGCUGGUUGGGAUAUCAAAGUGCUGCCUGCCUCUGUCGAGUUGCCUCUUGUCUCCCGGUGGGGCUUUGCAGUAGCCUGUUGAGGGCUGCAGAGAUGCCUUCGGGCAGCAGAGACACUGCCUUUGAAGUCCUCAUCCAGGGCAGAUCUAACAGGUCCUGGGCCCAGUCAGGGCACCAUUCAGAUUCCUUUUUUCCUCCCCUUUUUUCCCUCUUCCCUCUUUGCCUGGCACAGUCUCAGCUCUGGUGUUAUGAUGUGGGUGUUCCUGCUCAUCAUGCAUUCAUCAUUAAAAGUUUUCUUCCUGUUUAAUGUUCUUAACUAUUGCAAGUUAGUUUUAGACUUCCAGUGUAGCCUCUCCCCCCUUCCCCCCAAAACAAAAGACAAACCAACCCAAUCCAAUCCCCCCCCUUUUUCAAGCUGUGGAGAUCAUCAGGGAAAUGUGGUGUGGUGUAAAUCUUCAAGGCCAGUAAAUGCUCUAAGGUGCUUGCAUUUUGUGUUCCUGGAGCAAACCUCA